rnacentral:rRNA from 1 species
GACGAACGCUGGCGGCGUGCCUAAUACAUGCCAGUUGAGCGCUGAAGGUUGGUACUUGUACCAACUGGAUGAGCAGCGAACGGGUGAGUAACGCGUGGGGAAUCUGCCUUUGAGCGGGGGACAACAUUUGGAAACGAAUGCUAAUACCGCAUAAAAACUUUAAACACAAGUUUUAAGUUUGAAAGAUGCAAUUGCAUCACUCAAAGAUGAUCCCGCGUUGUAUUAGCUAGUUGGUGAGGUAAAGGCUCACCAAGGCGAUGAUACAUAGCCGACCUGAGAGGGUGAUCGGCCCCAUUGGGACUGAGACACGGCCCAAACUCCUCCGGGAGGCAGCAGUAGGGAAUCUUCGGCAAUGGACGAAAGUCUGACCGAGCAACGCCGCGUGAGUGAAGAAGGUUUUCGGAUCGUAAAACUCUGUUGGUAGAGAAGAACGUUGGUGAGAGUGGAAAGCUCAUCAAGUGACGGUAACUACCCAGAAAGGGACGGCUAACUACGUG